AAGUUUCUAGAACGAACCACCUUAAAGGAACUGAUUCUAACCAACAUGCCAAAGGAUUUUGUGGAAAAGGUUGGCAACAGUAAAUUCGAGCAUACUAUUCUCCAAACCAACCACUAUGAGUUUACUCCUUUGCCGUGGGAAAAAAAACCCUGAACUGUGGCAACCUGAUUGUGGCAUUAAUCUUCAGCAAGCAGACUGCCCACAAGAGCACCACAUCAAUUCAGGAAUUUCAUACUAGAAGAGUUCUCAUAUCCUGUGAGCUGAACUGACACAAGAAGUUCUGUACCAGUGUACCACUAUACUCGUACGUAGUACUUACUUUUCUUGUUUCCAUUUUAUCUUACCUUGUUUCUUGGAAAAAAGUGGAUCAGAAGUCUGAUCACCAGUGCACCUAUCCUUAUAGAUUUCAGUUAUGCUACUGGUUGCUCUUGAAGGUAUUUAUUUGCAUUUCAGAGAAGACACUAAGUUCCCGGGCAAGAAUAAUUUGUUAUCACAUUUUUCCUUGCAUUAUUGUAUAUGCUUUUCAAGUGUC